CCUACGGGAGGCAGCAGUGGGGAAUAUUGGACAAUGGGCGCAAGCCUGACCCAGCAACGCCGCGUGAAGGAAGAAGGCUUUCGGGUUGUUAACUUCUUUUGUCAUGGAAGAGUAUAAGAAGGUUCCUAACGUAUAAGCCACGGCUAACUACGUGUCAGCAGCCGCGCUAAUAUGGAGGGUGCGAGCGUUGUUCGGUAUUACUGGCCGUAAAGGGAGUGUAGGCGGAUAUGUUAGACAGCGGUGAAAUGCCCGGGCGCAACCCCGGAACUGCCAUUCUGACUAGGUAGCUAGAGUAAUGGAGGGGAGAGCGGAAUGCCCAGUGUAGAGGUGAAAUUCGUAGAUAUUGGGUAGAACACCGGUGGCGAAGGCGGCUAUCUGGACAUUUACUGACGCUGAGGCUCGAAAGCGUGGGGAGCAAACAGGAUUAGAUACCCUGGUAGUC
rnacentral:rRNA from 1 species